ensembl:lncRNA
GAAAAGAAUAAACAGCUGUAAACACUACUUUAUUAAGCACGAGUGUGUAAUUCUCUGAAAUAUUUCUUUGUGGGAAAGAGAUUCUGCCCCGCACGGCCCAAUUCAAAGCUUCCGCUAGUGCUAAGCCCAAUGUUUCCGAAUUUCCCGCUGACCGAGACUCCAGGUCCACAGAUCGCCCCUCGCAGCCGAUCCCCGACCCCGGCCCUGGCGGAGGCGGGAGACGGCUGCGGACCUGCAGCCCCGGUAGACAGAGGACCAGAGUGCGGGCCUCUCAAAGGCGGGGACUUGGUGGAAGCGGUCCAGUUCUCGCGAGGUUUCGUCCUGACCGGAGCAGGCGACAGCUCCGCGGAGAGAGUGGGUUUCGCUCACAGGAGGGAGCCGAAGGGCCCGGAGUGGUCGUUGCUACCCGGGGUCCGAGCCGGGGGAGAAGCCGUCACCUGUAAAAAGCCAGUUCUCCCUAAAGUCACCCCUGGGGAAGUCCAAGGCAGCGCUGGCCUCUUCCUUCUGCUGUGGGGGCAGCGCAGGCAAACCUUGCCGGCUAAAGAGAACCGCCCUAAGCAAAAACAUAAACACAGGUGUCCGGGCUCCCGGGGAGCUGGAGCUUAAGGUGGAUCUAGUGAAGCAAACCAGCGGCGUCUCUCCCAGGUGGUCAUCCGGUGGCUGCCCCCCAGCAUCACCAAGGAGCAGCUGGAACAGCAGCUGCACCUGCUGCCCGCACACCUUUACCGAGCUCAGGGGAGGACCAGGAGACAGCAAUGCAGAAACUCUGCCUGGGACUUUUUGCCAGUUGGAACUCCGGAUUGCUGUCACACAGAACUUCUCAGCACUCUUUAAGUCUGGAUGCUGGCAAAUCCAGUUUGGUGAUAACCUUUCCUUUAGGAGAAAUUGCUGAGCUCUGCAGGAACUGUGAAUGGUGACUAUCUGGUAAUUCUAAGACUGAAAAGCAAGAGGUAAAGAGAUGGGAAAUGAGAAUUGAUGGGGAGAAGCAGGGGCAUCCAUGUUCAACCUCAGCCUGAGAGUCUGAGUUAAUCUGCAGUGAAGGUGGUGCAGUGGUAAAGAAUCCACCUGCCAAGGCAGAAGAAACAGGAGACAGCCAGUUCAGUCUCUGGGUGAGGAAGAUUUCCUGGAAGAGAAGGAAAUGGCAACCCACUCCAGUAUUCUUGCCUGGAAAAUACCACGGACAGAGGAGUCUGCCAGGCUCCUGGGGUUGCAAAGAGUUGGACAUGAUUGAGCACACACAUAUUUUAAGAAAAACUUAAUAAAUGUUAAUG